CCUACGGGUGGCAGCAGUGGGGAAUAUUGGACAAUGGGCGAAAGCCUGAUCCAGCCAUGCCGCGUGUGUGAAGAAGGCCUUCGGGUUGUAAAGCACUUUCAGUGGGGAAGAAAGCCUUGGGGCUAAUACCCUCGAGGAAGGACAUCACCCACAGAAGAAGCACCGGCUAACUCCGUGCCAGCAGCCGCGGUAAUACGGAGGGUGCGAGCGUUAAUCGGAAUUACUGGGCGUAAAGCGCGCGUAGGCGGUCUGAUAAGCCGGUUGUGAAAGCCCCGGGCUCAACCUGGGAACGGCAUCCGGAACUGUCAGGCUAGAGUGCAGGAGAGGAAGGUAGAAUUCCCGGUGUAGCGGUGAAAUGCGUAGAGAUCGGGAAGAAUACCAGUGGCGAAGGCGGCCUUCUGGACUGACACUGACGCUGAGGUGCGAAAGCGUGGGUAGCAAACAGGAUUAGAUACCCUGGAGUC
rnacentral:rRNA from 1 species